rnacentral:rRNA from 1 species
UGGGGAAUAUUGCACAAUGGGCGAAAGCCUGAUGCAGCAACGCCGCGUGAGUGAUGAGGGUCUUCGGAUUGUAAAGCUCUGUCUUUUGGGACGAUAAUGACGGUACCAAAGGAGGAAGCCACGGCUAACUACGUGCCAGCAGCCGCGGUAAUACGUAGGUGGCGAGCGUUGUCCGGGUUUACUGGGCGUAAAGGGUGCGUAGGCGGAUGUUUAAGUGAGAUGUGAAAUACCCCGGGCUUAACUUGGG